UACGGAGGGUGCAAGCGUUAUCCGGAUUCACUGGGUUUAAAGGGUGCGUAGGCGGAUAGGUAAGUCCGUGGUGAAAUCCUGCAGCUUAACUGCAGAACUGCCGUGGAUACUAUCUAUCUUGAAUGUCGUGGAGGUUAGCGGAAUAUGUCAUGUAGCGGUGAAAUGCUUAGAUAUGACAUAGAACACCCAUUGCGAAGGCAGCUAACUACGCGAUAAUUGACGCUGAUGCACGAAAGCGUGGGGAUCGAACAGG
rnacentral:rRNA from 1 species